CUCUCUGUUGUCAGUGACACACCUUUCGUGAAACUGAACCUCCGUGAUUGCGUGCAACUUUUCGUCACUACCACUGAGACAGCCAAUGGG